UCUGCACGGUUUCUUCCCACUGCACUGCAUUUCUGAAUAUCGCUCAAACUGUGCGCACCAAACCCAUAACUCUUGCAGUUGUUUUUACCUCUUAUCACGCUCAAGAAACGAACUCGCACCUUUCUGCAGACCUUUUCAAUCGGUUCCUCUCAAUUUCUCUAUCCCUUCACCGUGCGUUCAACCCGGGUGUUGGAGCUUCAGCUUUUGACUCCACUGUUGUAUUUUUCUUGAACAACCGUUGGUCACUUUCUCUUUCACUAGAGAUUGCUGUGAAUUUUUUGGGCAUAGACUACAGUGGGUUGUGUCGGUUUGAAGUGGUUUGAAGUUUUCGUGACUCUGUUAGGUGGUGUCACUACUAGAGUUUCAACUCAAGGUGUUGAUAAUACACGGAAGUCAG